AAAAGGCUGGAAAAAACCCGAGACCGAGACCGAGGCUUGGUCAAGAGAAGAGUUGAGCAAUAGCAACUUUAAUAGCAAAGGAUUGAACGCCAUCUUCAUGGCAGUACCCCAAGAAGAGUUCAAAAGGAUCUCUAUGUGUGAGAUAGCUAACGAGGCAUGGGACAUACUGGAAGUCACACAUGAAGGAACAAAGACUGUGAAGAACUCUAAAUUGCAAUUGCUAACUUCUAGAUUUGAAGAAAUUAAAAUGCUUGAAGAUGAAUGCUUUAAUGAUUUUUAUGCUAAACUGAAUGAUCUUGUGAAUUCCAGGUUUAAUCUUGGACAGAAGGUUGAAGAUUCAAGAGUCGUAAGGAAAAUCUUAAGAUCACUACCCGAGAGAUUCCGACCCAAGGUCACGGCUAUUGAGGAAAGUAAAGACUUGGAUACAAUUAAAGUCGAGGAGCUGGUCGGAUCCUUACAAACGUAUGAAUCUUCUCUUCCCCAAACUAGAAAAGGUAAAUCUAUUGUCUUGAAAACUGUGAAAGAAGAGAAUAAAGAUGGUUGUAGUGAGGAGAGUCUAUGAUGAUAUGGCUCUUAUUGCUAGGAAAUUCAAAAAAAAAAUUGUUUAAUAAGAAAACAAAUGGAAAACAAAAGAAAGCUAAAGAAUUUCUAGCAAAGAAAAAUGAUUCUGAAAAUUGGAACAAAAAAAAAAAUUGAGGAAAAGGAAAAAGUGAAGUGUCAUGAAUGUUCAGGCUAUGGUCAUAUUAGAGUUAAGUGUCCCAACUACAAGAAAAAUAAGGGAAAAGCAUUGAAUGUGUCACUUAGUGAGACUUCAGAUUCUGAGAGUGAAAAGUCAUCCUCAGAUGAUGACAAAUCUUUUAUGGCUUUUGUCACUAGUGUAAAUGAUUUACCUGAAAAUUCACUGACAAAAUCUGAAAGUGUUUGUGCUUCAAGUGAUUCGGACAUUGCUAUAGUUGAUGCUGAUCAAGAACUAUGUGUGCAAGAUGCCUAUAAUGAAGUGUGUGAAGAGGUAAUCGAGCUGAAAAAACUCACCAAAAAGCUGUAAAGUAAUCUUACAGCAUUAGAAAAUGAAAAAAAUAAUUUGGUUGAAGCUUUAAAAAUCUCUGAGGUCGAAGUGUUGAGACUGAAGGACCAAAAGGUUGCUCUAGAACAAAANNNNNNNAGGAUUAGGAUAUGUGGAUUCUAAAGGAAAAGGAAUACAAAUAUCAUCAUCCACUGCAUCAAGCUCCAAAGGUACUGUGUUUGUGAAGGAAAGCCAAAAGAAGAACCACAACGAUCCUCCCAUGCUAAAAGCAGUUCAGUCAAGAAACUACCACAAAAAUUUAGCACCAGACUUGCUGAAAAAUGGUAGGUAUGAAGGUAAGCAUACUCCUAUUUGUCAUCAUUGUGGAAUAAUUAGUCAUAUAAGACCACACUGCUUUAACAUGUUUCAAGUACAGAAAACUAAAGCUAAACAAAAUCCAAGAAAGAAGGGAAAAAGCCUACACAGUCAAGUUGAUGACAUAAGCCAUCAAAUUAAUCUUGUGAGCCGUGAGCUUGGUGAAUUAGUGAAGUUGUGCGCCCAGAAAAAUGAGAAAAGCAAGCUGGAAAGCAAAGAAGAGUGGGUUGUGAAAAACAAAACCGUAGGCCACAUAGCUCACACGGCCCUUAGAGUCAAGGAAAAAUGUUUUUGGUACUUGGACAGCGCUUGUUCAAGGCAUAUGACUGGAGAUAGAGCACUCUUCAAGGAGGUGCUACCAACAAAUGGAGGCACGGUAACAUUCGGAGAUGGCAGCAAGGCCGUUGUAGAAGGGAAAGGGAGUAUUGAAAUACUUGGACUGCCUACUUUAACUAAUGUUUUGUUUGUCAAUGGUCUUAAAGCUAAUUUAUUGAAUAUAAGCCAAUUUUGUGAUGAAAAUUUUUUUGUGCAGUUCUCAAAAGAGCAACAUCUUCAACUCAGCUGGUCAAUGGAUUGUUAAGGGCUUGAGAAUCGUGGAUAAUUGUUAUGGUGUUUCCCCAACUGUUAGAUUGAGCUGCCAUAGAGCUUUGCGAGAUGAAACCGAGUUAUGGCAUCAACGUCUGGGGCAUAUAAACUUCAGAGAUUUGGCUAAGAGCUCAAAAAGAGAACUGGUGGAUGGACUACCAAGAGCUAUUAAAGGAAAGAAAAUUGUGUGUGGAGCAUGCCAAGAAGGGAAGCAAACAAGAACACGGCACAAGAAAAAUUCUCUCAUUCAUACCUCUCGGCCCCUUAAGCUUUUGCACAUGGACUUGAUGGGUCCAACACAAACCGAGAGCCUAGGUGGAAAGAAAUACAUCAUGGUGAUCGUAAAUGACUUUACACGAUAUACAUGGACCAUUCUCUUGAGAGUAGUGAUCAUGGAAGAGAAUUUGAGAAUGCAAACUUCACUACUUUUUGUGAUGAACAGGGAAUCUACCAAGAAUUUUCAUCACCCAUUACUCCACAACAAAAUGAAGUAGUAGAGAGAAAGAAUAUGGCAAUACAAGAGAUGGCACGGACCAUGCUAAGUAACAAGAAAAUGGUGCUGCAUUUGUGGGGAGAAGUUGUGAACACAGCCAAUCACAUCUUAAAUCGAGUUGUUCUCUGACCCGGCACCAAACAAACUCCUUACGGUUUGUGGAAAAACAAAAAACCCACGGUAAAAUAUUUUAGAAUUUUCGGUAGCAAGUGUUACAUUUUAAGAGACCGAGAGAACACUCAUAAAUUUGAGAGCAAAAGUGAUGAAGGUUUGUUUCUUGGUUAUUCUUCAAAUAUUAGGGUUUAUAGAGUUUACAACUUACGUACAAAAUCUGUCAUGGAAUCUUUUAACGUGGUUGUAGAUGAUGUUUCAGCUGAAAUUACCAUGAGAGUGCUGGAAAAAUUACCGGAGUCAGUGCCAAGUAGCGAAGAAGACUCUCAAGAGCAAAAUGAUGAAGAGGACAGAGAACAUAGUCAUUCUAAAUCAAAAGAUCCCUCUUCAAGAGUCACCAAAAAUCAUCCAAGGGAAAAUAUGCUUGGUGAAUCGGAUGAAAGUAUGAGGCUAAAAAAGAGAGUGAUUAAUCAAGUCUCAUUUUUGUGCUAUCUUUCACAGGUUGAGCCCAAAAAGGUGGAAGAAGCACUACAAGAUGAAAUUUGAGUCAAUGCAAUGCAUGAAGAGCUCCAUCAAUUCACUAAAAAUGAUGUGUGGGAGUUAGUUCCAAGACCGAAUGACCACAAUAUCAUCGGGACUAAAUGGAUCUUCAAAAAUAAGUCUGAUGAGCAUGGAAAAAUUAUAAGAAAUAAAGCAAGAUUGGUUGCUCAAGGAUACACUCAAGUGCAGGGGAUAGAUUUCGAUGAAAAAGUCGCCCUGGUAGCUCGGCUAGAAUCUGUCUGGAUCUUAUUAGCACUUGCUUGUCAUCUAGACUUCAAGCUUUAUCAAAUGGAUGUCAAAAGUGCCUUCCUAAAUGGCAUACUCCUAGAAGAGGUAUAUGUUGAACAACCAAAGGGCUUUAUUGAUCACUCACAUCCUGAUUUUGUCUACAGGUUAAAGAAGGCCCUCUAUGGACUAAAACAAGCACCUCGGGCUUGGUAUGAGAGGUUGACAGCUUAUCUAACAGAACAUGGUUUUUGUAGAGGACAAGCUGAUAGGACAUUAUUCAUAAGAAGAUCAGGUAAGCAACUCUUACUAGCCCAAAUAUAUGUGGAUGACAUUGUGUUUGGAGCUACACUUGAGUCUCUAGCAUAUGAGUUUUCCAAUGAAAUGAAAUCUGAAUUUGAAAUGAGCAUGAUAGGAGAGUUAAAUUUUUUUUUGCUAGGAAUCCAAGUAAAACAAUGCAAAGAAGGAAUUUUUAUCUCCCAAUCCAAAUAUGCUAAAGACCUUGUGAAAAAGUUUGGCAUGGAAGGAAAAAGCAACGCUCGUACUCCUAUGAGUGCAUCGGUGAAAAUUUACAAGGAUCCUACAGGUAAAAACGUUGACCCUACUCUCUAUAGGAGCAUGAUAGGAAGCCUUUUAUAUAUCACUGCAAGUAGACCUGACAUAGCAUUUAGUGUAGGGGUGUGUGCUAGGUUUCAGGCCAAUCCAAAAGAAUCUCAUCUUACUACAGUAAAAAGGAUAAUAAAAUAUCUUAAUGCAACUGUGGAUUAUGGGACAUGGUUUACUAGAGACACAAAUCUAACACUUGCUGGAUAUUCGGAUGCGGAUUGGGCUGGGGAUGCUGAUGAUAGAAAGAGCACCUCGGGUGGAUGUUUUUAUGUGGGAGGAAAUCUAGUUGCUUGGCUAAGUAAAAAACAAAAUUCAAUUUCCCUAUCCACUGUCGAGUCUGAGUACAUAGCUUUAGGGAGUUGUUGUACUCAACUAUUAUGGAUGAAAAAGGUACUAGAAGAUUAUGGAUUCUCUCAAAAUACAAUGUUGGUCUAUUGUGACAACUCUAGUGCUAUUAAUAUUUCCAAAAAUCCAGUACAGCACUCGAGAACCAAACACAUUGACAUUAGACAUCAUUUCAUUAGAGAAUUGGUGAAAUCUAGAGUCAUAUCUUUAGAGCAUAUUCCUACCGAGCAUCAAUUGGCCAACUUAUUCACUAAACCUCUAGAUGGUCUAAGGUUUGAAUUUUUAAGAAAAGCCAUCGGUGUUUGCGACAUCAAAUGAGUUGACCUCCUCUUUGUUUAAGAAAAGCAUAAUUUUUUUUCUAUGUUUUCGUUUUUUUAAUUUAUUAUAUAUAUAUAUAUAUAUAUAUAUAUAUAUAUAAUAAAAAAUAAUAAUAUGCUGGUUAUUUGGUUUGGCCCUAUGAUGUAGUGUGCAUGAUUGAUGGUGUGUUGAAGGUUUUGAGCUUAUUGAUACUCACUUAAUAAAUCUUUGAACUCAUGCAGUCUUUUUCUUGUUUUAUGCAUCCCAUCUUGUGCAUACUAACCCUAUUGGUCAUAUUAGCAAAGGUUCAUGCUUAAAGCACUAUAAGAAACUUGUAUGGAUGAAAUCAAUAAAAAAAAAAAAGGAAGGACUGGAUAAGCAUGAUUGAGAUGCUCUUUAUAAGAGGGAGUCCAGGCCUUAAAUUGACCAAUACUAGUUGAACCUAGUACAAAAAAAUUCUCCCCUUGCCAAACACAACUUGUUGAUCCUUAUAGAAAAAGUCAGUGUGACAAUCAUUGCGGAAAAAGACUCACACUAUACACGGAUCUAACCUUGGAAGUUCUUAUGAAAAAAAAAAACCGUUGCCUCCCUCAUUGCGAAAAAAGAUGAGCAACAAAAAUGAACCGAAAAGGGGAUAUGCAAGUGAAGUGUUUAGAGGAAGCAAUUAUGUAUCUAGGCCCUAGCAUAAGGUUUGCCUUAAGGUGAGUGACAAAAUCUUGAGAGCAUCUUUCAAAAGAAAAGUCCUAUGAAUAAUGAUGAUCAAAAGAAUAAGGCAUUCAUAAAAAUUAUUGAACAAAUUCAUCAAUAAAAAGUUGCUACCCUUCAUAAGUUGCUCACUCACACACUCACAUGAACCUUGUCUUUGAUGAUUUCAAGAGGAGUGAAAAUCCAUUGUGGGUAUAGCACUCAAGAGGAUGUAUGGUCUUUGCUUUAUUUUGUGAGUAGCACUUUGAUUGAAUCUUGAUGCAUAUCAUUGUGCUCCCUGCUUCAUUGCCAUUCAUUUUACAAAAUUCUGCAUAUAAGCAUUGUAUUUAGCAUUCUUGUUUUAUUUAAUUUGGUCAAUUCUGAUGUUGGCAGUGCAUGUGUGGCAGUUCUUGAGAAACAAUUCUUAGGGUAUCUGGACGUUCUACAGCACAACAUGUGCUUAUUAAAUAUAUUAAGUGUAUUGAGACUGUUUUGUGCAUAUAUUAAGGUUGUAAAUCAUGAGUUUUGAACAUUUGCACUUCACGUGCUUAACAUUGCCUACAAAGUCUUUCAAAUAUUGCUUAAAGCCACUUGUUUGCUCAAGUGCACUUGUUUGCUCUCUAUUUCGUGUCCAUAUGAUGAUCUGGUUGUUUUGAUUCAAACCAAGUUCAGCAAUUUUUUUUCUCGGAUAAGGACGAAGGACCGUGCGAAGCGUAUCAAGCCUGCAAAACCACUUCUCAAGUGAGGACAAUCAGGUUGCCCAAUCCUUUUGCUUCCAUUGCCUGAUCUCGUUGACAAAAAGGGGGAGAUAAGUAAGGGGGAGCAGCAUAGAUAUAGGGGGAGUCCAAAGUGGAAUUACACAUUCAUCAAAAAUGAUUUGUCACAAAUCAGCCAAAAGGGGAGAUUGAAAACGCAGAUUGGCUUGGAUUAGUGAGUUUAAAUUUAAAUAGGAUAAGAUUUAUCUUAUCUCUAAAGUUGUAUUUUUGAAUGAAUGCAAUUUAAAACUAUGGGAUUUAUCCAUAACAAUUUGAGUCCUAUUAGGAGUCUAGGCGACGAGUUUCAGCAGCACUUUUUGAUUAUCCAUUUAAAUCAAAUUAAAUAGAAACCUUGUGGUUUUUCCUGCUGGAGCACAUAUCUAGAGAUAUUGGAGAGCCAUAUUGAAAAAGUUGAGUGAAAAAUUCUCCCUGUGAAUUCUAAUGCUUGUGAAGCGUGAUCUUACUCAAGGUUUGAAAAGAUUGUGAUUGGUGUCUAGCCACUGGAGGUUCCAGGAGAAAAGGUAAUUGAUUGAAGAUCGCCAGAGGUUCUGGCUGCUACCAUGAUAGGGAUAAACGGGUCGUUUGUCCAGUUAAGUAAGGGAAUCAAUUAACAAAGGUUUUGUGAUUGAGUUGCUUAUUUGUAAACUGAUUUUCAAUCAAUAAAAUUAUCUUUUCUGGGUAGGCUAUCCUAAUGUAAUGCUUGAUAAGUUAAUUGUUGCUUGUUUAUAUUAAUUCACAUAAUAUAAAUCUAACAAUUUGAUUACUGAAAGUGUUAGUGCAUAUUCAGCCAUACAGGGGUAAAUAAAUAGGGAACUUCAGCAU
rnacentral:lncRNA from 1 species